AUAUCAAUAAGCGGAGGAAAAGAAACCAACAGGGAUUGCCUUAGUAACGGCGAGUGAAGCGGCAAAAGCUCAAAUUUGAAAUCUGGCACCUUCGGUGUCCGAGUUGUAAUUUGAAGAAGGUAACUUUGGAGUCAGCUCUUGUCUAUGUUCCUUGGAACAGGACGUCACAGAGGGUGAGAAUCCCGUGCGAUGAGAUGUCUGAUUCUAUGUAAAGUGCUUUCGAAGAGUCGAGUUGUUUGGGAAUGCAGCUCUAAGUGGGUGGUAAAUUCCAUCUAAAGCUAAAUAUUGGCGAGAGACCGAUAGCGAACAAGUACAGUGAUGGAAAGAUGAAAAGAACUUUGAAAAGAGAGUGAAAAAGUACGUGAAAUUGUUGAAAGGGAAGGGUUUGAGAUCAGACUUGGUAUUUUGUAUGUCUUGCUUUCGGGUGGGGCCUCUACAGUUUACUGGGCCAGCAUCGGUUUGGACGGUAGGAUAAUGACAUUGGAAUGUGGCACCACUUCGGUGGUGUGUUAUAGACUUUGUUGAUACUGCCUGUCUAG
rnacentral:rRNA from 1 species